rnacentral:lncRNA from 1 species
AUCUUACGAUUGCAAGGUUUUGUUGGAAAUAAGCCCUAGAGUCAGUAAUAAAUUUGUUAUUAUCAGAUUUCUUUGUUCUUGAUAAAUGUUUAUUAUUCAUGCUAUAAUUGUAUUAACAGAAAACUAAAUACACGUGUGGAUAAAUAAACAAAUAUCGUGUCCCUAAUACGUCUCUACUAGAUUAGCUCGUUGAUUAAAAGAUGGUUAACGUUUCCUAACCAUAGACAUGUGUUGUCAUUUAUUAACGAGGUCAUAUCAUUAGGAGAAUGAUGUGAUGAAAUAACCCAAACCUAAGCAUACCUUUUGAUCGUGUCACUUAAGUUUAAAUUGCUAAUGCUUUUACUGUGUCAAGUAUCAUUUCCUUAGACCAUGAGAUCAUGCCACUGCCUAGUACCGGAAGAAUACUUUGUGGACAUCAACCGUCAUCUCGUCACUGGGUGAUCAUAAAGGUGUUCUUCAGGUAUCUCAGAGGGUGCUUGUUGGGUUGUAUGGAUCAAGACUGUGAUUUGUCACUCCAUGUGACGGAGAGAUAUCUCUGGGCCAUCUCGGUAAUAUAACAUUCUAAUGAGCUUGCAAGCAUGUGACUAAUGUGUUUAGUCACGGGGAUAUUAUAUUGCGGUACGAGUAAAGAGAACUUGCCGGUAACGAGAUCGAACUAGGUAUGGUGAUACCGACGAUCAAAUCUCAGGCAAGUAAUAUAUCGCGAGACAAAGGGAAUUGGAUACCGGAUUAAUUGAAUCCUCGACAUCGUGGUUCAACCGAUGAGAUCUUCGUGGAAUAUGUGGAAACCAUUAUGGACAUCCAGGUCCCGCUAUUGGUUAUGGAACGGAGAGGUGUCUUGGUCAUGUCCACAUGUUCUCGAACCCGUAGGGUCACACACUUAACGCUUAAUGUCGCUAGGGUUUGAUGAGAUAAAAGAUGGUGAUAUCGAAUUAUGAUUCGGAGUCUCGGAUGGGAUCCAGGACAUCACGAGGAGCUUCGGAAUGGUCCAGAGAUAAAUAAUUAUAUAUGGGAAAGUUGUUUCAGGGUUUUGGAAAAUUUCGGGAUAUUUUCCGGUAUGGACCUGGAAUGUUCUAGAAGGUUCCGGAAGUUCUCAAAAGGUUCUGCAAUUUUCCAGAAUAUUCCUGAGAAUUUAAUUGGGCCUCUAUAGUAAUUAAUUAGAGCAAUCUAAUUAGUUAUCUUCUAAUGGGCCUAGGCCCGUUAGGGGAAAGAGAGGAAACCCGGGGACUCUCCACCGUACGGUGGAAGUCACGUACGUGGGGGGAGGCCGGGCAGAAGGAGGAAUCUUUCUGGGACUCCCCUAGCCGGCCCUAGCCUCUUCUUGGAGGAGGGACAAACCUUGAACACAAAGCCCUCAGCUGGAUCUCUCUCUCCUGAACCCCUCUCCUUCUCUCCCGUGCGCAGCGAAGCUCUGCCCGCGGAGUUCUCCACCAUAUCCUACACCACACCGUCGUGCUGCCAGGAUCUCGUCAACCUCUCCAUCAUCUUGCUGGAUCAAGAAGGAGGAGACGACAUCAAGCCGUACGUGUGGAUACCAAGGAGGUGCCAUACCUUCGGCAUUGAGAUUGAUCUCAUCGACAGUACCACUACGCCAACAACGAUCCCGUGAUCGUAACGCUUUGUGGUCUACGAGGGUAUGAUGCUCAUUAUCACUCUCGUUACUUACAUCUACUAGAUAUGAUCUUGGGUUUCUUCCGCACAUCUCGUAGGAAAUUUUUUGUUUUCCAUGCAACGAACCCAUCAGGUUUAGGUUUUGAUAAUUGCUACUGAUGCAUUGUGCCAUUUAAUUGGUUUCGAAGAUUCGAUCGAUCUGCAUUGUACUUGGGGAAAUUUGAUCAGAGGAACUUUUACUAUGGCCGGGUUUCGUGGGAGGAUUACUACAUAAUGCUGCUGCCUAGGAACUAUGAGUUUUACUGGAGUUUGCGAAUAUUUUCUAAUUACUUAGAUGUCACAGUUCUGUGCAUAAAACAAUUAUCAACCACACAGACUGGCAUUACUGUCUUUGAAUUUGAACAGAUAUGCAACUCCGGUCCGUAAACUUGAGAAUC